GUUCUCCCAGUGCGGUCUUUUCCACAAGGCAAGGUCUAUACAGCAUCCCACCAUGGGGAAGGAUGUGUUAUGCUGCAGAAGACAGGAGUGAUGGCCCUUCAGAUGCUCUCUGAGGGGUCUCUAAUGCUCCCUGCCACAUUCUGGUCUGCUCAAGCACACAGGGAGCUGCAGUACUGCUGUUUGAAGGCAACAGGAGGAUCUUUCAGGCCCAGCAAAGCAAAUAACCCUGCUCUAAUGGAAACUCUCCAACCUGCUAAGUGAAAGUGCAGGAGCCCUGAGCUUGGGCCAGGAAACUUUUUUAUCUGGAGGAAAGUGUGGAUGAGAUGCUCCCCCCCCACCUCUGUGCAGAGCCUGUGAAGAACAGGAUUGAUGGACACCUCUAAAGAGCUCUGACUCCUCCCCAGCCCAGAAGGAACCAUCACUGCAGCAGCCCAAGAGACACUCAUGGGAUCACACUUGUGACUUGGUGUGGAAGCCCUACAAACAUGAGGUGAGGCAGAAGCAUCUACCAACAUCCAAAGUCAGGCCACCCACCAUACCUGAACAGGUUUUCGGAUUCUCUGGACACCACAGUCACACCAAUGCUGUUCCCAAGAGCUCCCCAUUGCCUUCUCCCCCCCCACCAACUCAUUCUACACCAGAACAGCCACCAAACCCACCAGAAAGGACUGCUUGGCCUCGUCGGUGCUUUCAAUGCCUUUGGUGUCGAACUUUCCCUGCUGCAGGCUGCUGUGCAUGAUGUUCACAGCACUGGUCACCCCUCUCUGGAAGUCCUGGAAGGUCGUGGCUGGAAAGCCCUGCUUCAGUUUGUUGUACAGAACCUCCCUAUGGGCAAGCAGAACACACCAGGGCUUAGAGCAAAUAACUGCAGGUGACAACAGAACUGUGCUCUGUGACAGGGGCCGGUGUUCUGUCUGAGCUGGGACCUGGACAAGGUGAUCACCACUACUGUGAGAAAAGAUGCCCAGCUCCAGCUUCCCACAGCCCACCAGCCACUGCUUCCUGCAAGCGUGACAAAUCAGAGGUUCAAAGGUGAAGAACACGAGGAAGACCACCUGACAGCAAACACUGUUUGAAGAAUGUGAGGUGCAGGCACUUACAACAAACCUGGUGUACUGGCAUUACCUGAAGUCAGACUCCAGCUCAGUGGUGGAGUGGUUGAUCAUGGCACAGAGACAGUCUAUGCUGGAGCUGGACAGAGCACGCCCAAUGCACUUCUUCACUAUAUAAAACACGUCAUCCACCAUGCUGGAGGUGAGCUGGCCCUUCUCGUAGCUGUCCAUGGCAACAGCCUGCAAAGAAAGCUGUCUCAGAGCCCUGAGCCCAGUGAGUGAUGGUGCCCUCUCAGAGCAGUGCUGUGAGACCAAACCUGGUCUGCCCCCUUCACCCUGAGUGGAACUGUACCCUGUGUGGGCUGGCACUCAGCCUAGUCUUCAGGAGCCCACAGCCCUGGAAGAUCUGUCUCAGGAAGAUACCCACGGGUAUGUCUGGAGUCGAAGUUCAGAACCAACCACUUGCUUUUCAAGGCCAAGGGAAACAAAAGGCCUUCCCAGCAACUGCAGACCUGCCAUGUACUCGUAUCCCUCCCGUGGGAUGCUCAGCAGAGGACUGGGGAGCACAUGCAGAGAACCAUCUGAGUUUCUCAGCACAGUCAGAGCCUUACCUUGUUGACAGUCUCCCUCAUGAAGUAUUCCUCCAUGGUGAUGUAGUAGCCAAUGAGCUCUUGCAUGGUGCAGCUCAGCAGACAGUUGUUGAGGAGCUUGUCCAGAUAUUUUUGAUGCUCUACAGAGGAGAGAACUAUCAGCAGGGACCAAAUGGCAGAAAACAGUUCCACCAAGUCCCCUUGCUACCUCUUUGAGGGGCACCCAAGGGACACACACCUGCCAAGCCCAACCUGGAAGAAAUCACAGGCCUCAGCUGUGGAGCUGAAAUUGCUGAGCUGAAUUUUGCAGGUGACAAAAGUAAUUUCCGGAGCUCCAGAGAGUACCAAAACCCCGAGCCUGUUUCCCCUGUGGCCUCCAUCUUUAGGAUUUGUGCCUGCAGUGACCAAAUGUCCCUCCCUCUCUUGUUUGUUAUACUCUACAGUCAUUCCUAAUGCUGGUUUCUCUGCUAGAUGGAACAACCAGUGCUGAAAACAGGUUUGGGGAGGUCAAGCUACACAGUCCUCUUCCACAGCGUGCUCCCAAAGCAUCUUUGCAGAUCCUGUGUCACUCUGCUCUGCCACUGCCUCAGAGAUAUCUCCAUUUCUGGCUCUGAUGAACAGAGAGCCUGCAAGUCCUGGUAUUCAAGGUGUUACCUUGCUUCACCUCCUCUGAGGCCGUGGCAUCUCCCACCUCAAAAUCAGCUACUAUUCGUCUCUUGAUGAACCUCAAGUAGAGCUCGCUGCGGGCGUUCAUCAGGGUGACUUCUGUUAAAAUGGGGUCAAGCUCCCUGGAAGGAACAGAGCAAGAACCGAGGUAGCAACACUACAAAAGGAGAGGCACUAAUUUAAUUCAGUCAGGUAGUGUGUUUUCUGUUCUCUUGCUGCGAGACCAAUACUGCCCCUUUCCAUCUGUGCUUUCGAGUGGCAGAGCUCAGCAGAAUAAUUGUGCAAAGAACGCACACACAAUCAAAAUGUCCCCCAAAAAAUCAUUUCCAAGGGGGGAUCUCUACAAUACUGCUUUCUUCUUUGCUCCAAGAGUUAGCAACACUCCCCCUCUUUUUUCCUCACAGCUGUGAGGACACCCACAUUAAAAUCACAGCGGUAAGGACUGCAAGACUCUAAGCAACCUGCUACAACUUCAAAAUGAGCUCUGCUUUGAAUGGGAGGUUGGACUAGAGACCUUCCUCAGUCCUUUCCUACCUCAGUUUUGCUAUAAUUCUGUGAGCCCCAAGUGGCCAGUGCUAGAAAUGCUUGGUCCCUGCCAUCUCCUCAUGUGUGCUUUUGUGCACAGAUCCAUGUGUUUCUCUGAAAAUGAUGAAGAAUCUGUUUAAGCUCAACAGCUCAGGAAAUGUGAGACCAAAAAAGCACGUGACAAUGUGCAGAAUGCUGUGGUCACAUCAGACAUGACCAUGAAAUAAAAGAAAGACUGUCACAUCAGCAGCUUUUUCAUCAGUGUGCACAAAAGAAUUUUACAAAUCCUGCUCAAAGCCUCACAACCCAACUGUGGGACAAGGAAACAUUAUUUUAGAGAUGAAAAAGCAAAAGGUCAGAAAACCUGGGAUGGUUACUCAGAGCAAACAAACUACUUCUCAUCAUGCUAUUCUGGACUUGCUGGAACUGCAAUCACAAAAAAAAAGGGAGAGUCAUCAGUCUUUGCUGAUGACUUGGAGUUACCAGCUGCUUUUCGUGCUGUAGCCCAAGGAAGUGCUUACUCACUGGGGGUGAUAGGAAUGCUUUGCAGGAAGCACUGCCAGAGAAGGGAACUGCAUCAGUUCACCUCCUCCUCCAAGGAAGAGCUCGUCCUGCCAGGGAGGACAGUGGGAGGGGACUCCAGCAGAGGCACCAAGCUCCCAUGCUGCUUCUUGAAGAGCCAGGCUUGGAGGCACCAACAGCUGCUCAGCCUUAAGGGAUCUGAUUUGUUUGUCUGGAGAGCUGGAAGUCUGAAGAAACCUCCAGGGAAUACUCAUAUGUUUUGAGGAUGCAGAGAACAGGAAGAGUCUGAUUCCUGGAGGAACUCAACAAAUCCUUUGCAAAUCCACUUUGUGCCUGCAUAAGCUGUAGGUAGGAAAACUUGCUUAUUGUGAUGCCCUCUUCUGGCUGGAAUAAAUUCUGCUGGUGGUGUCCCUGUCCCUCAAGUGUGACACGUCUGCAGCUCAAUGGAGAAUGAGGCAUUUUGUGAGCCAAAUUUAAAAACAUUUACAUUCAUGGACAAUCUCAUCAGGGACUAUUUUUAAUCCAUCAGGAAAGAGGGAAGGAAGAUUACCUUCGAAGAGGAGUGUCAGGGUGUCUGCAAAGAUGACAGCAGCUCGACGGUCACUCAUGUCUGUCCCCAUCACCAGCUGCAGGUUCUCUUCUGCUUUGUUGGCCACCUGCACGACAACAGGACCAGUCAGCUGAACACCCAAAGGUAUUCUUCAUCCCACAGGGUGGUCCCCUGUCCUUGCCCUAUAGAGUUUUCACUGGCCUUCCCAUUGCAAGAGCUAUUGCUGUUGUUCUUCCUUCGAACACGGAUCCUUUCCUCUUUUGUGGAAAACUCAAGGAUCGAGGAAAGACAGAAACUUGUUCUUCUCUUUCCAGGCUCAUUGUAUGAGCUUUAAGCAAGACACAGAAGGGGAAGCCGGACAGCCCCCAGGAUCUGUACUCAGACACCAGAAAGCCCAUCCCAGGACACAAAAUGCAGGGAGAGAGAUGAACUGAGGCCAGUGCUGGUUUCUAAGAUUAACAAGCCCCAGCCAAAACCUCUUUCCACAACAUCCAUUGACAGACUGAGUUUUGCUUUCCCCUGGAUGACCAGACAGGCCACAGUAGUUUCACAGACCCUGUUACCUGCUUGCAGAGGUACUCGGAGAACUUGCUCAGCCCCUCUUCGUGUAAGCCCAGCAGGGGAAAGAUCUUGAAGAACCGUUCCACCUGGGGCAGGUCUCCCUGCUUCAUGGCUGUGUCGAAUUUCUCUGUGACAAUUGUCUUCAGGCGCUGCUCUGCCUCCUGCAGGAGCUUCAGGUUGGCAUCAAUUAUGCCUCCUGGACAAGAGGACAGAAAAGGAAGGGAAAAGCGACAGCACAAUGUCAGUGCUGUAUCAAGGGCUACUUUUCUCCCUGAGAGAGAGACCAACACUGUGCAGCCCUAGGCUGAGAAGGCAGAAGACACACUGGAAUUUCUCUAUAGGCAAAGAAAGACAGGUAGGUGUGUGAUGUACACACAGCUAAUGUUGUGGUUUUCCAUGGAAGAUGAGAACACAUCCACCAGGACGUUUCUUCUAAGGAUCUGGCAAAUUACUCCUUGAUUUCCAGUUGCUCUGCUUGGUAGCCCAUCGUAACACUGCAACAGUUCUCCCUGACAGGGCCUUCUCCCUCACUUCUUUUGACAUGAACAUUUUGUCCUUUGCUUAGUUAGCACCUGAAAUACUAUUAAAGCUGUGUGCCAGGAACUCCUCUUUCAAUUAAUGUUAAUUCCAACUUAAUAACACUUCACCUCAAUAUCAGUCUAUAACAUACAAAGAACUUUGGCCAGAACUAGAUCUUCUGCUUUGUCUAUUGGGCUGAGGCUAUCUGCCACGGGAAAUGAUGCAGUCUCUAGUUAUGUGCUACUGGAAGGGUGACUUAUCAGCUUCUCCUCAUGAGCAGAGCUCACCUUCCUUGCCCUGACAACUGAGCUCAAUCACUGACUUGUCCAGAGAUAGAUAGCGAUGGAUAUGAGCUGCUGCUUGUUCAUAGUCUUCAUUCCUCAGGGCUGUUUGAACUCCAUCCAUGCAGAACUUCAGGUCAAGGAUGUCGUCAGCUCUCUGAAUGGCCUGAUAGAGGCGGUUCUGCAAGAAAGGCACCCAGUAAAGCUUCCUGCUGCAGAAUGGACCAGGGAGAGGGAAGUGUGAGGAGAAGACAGUGUGGGGGGAAAAAAGGAAGAGACUGAAGCAAUACUUCUCUACACAAUAAACAACUACGUAAGCAGAAACCCCACACUACUUAAAAAGUCAUAAAACCAACGGCUCUGCAAGAGGAACAGCAUUUGUCAAAACUGAGGCUGAGCUCAGCUCCACUAUAACAAACAGGCAGAGACCAGAGAGACAACCACAAGUUGUCUGAUUUGAUUUGUGCAGCAGUGCUGAGCGCUGGGAUCGACACCUCUCAGCCUGCCUCUGGACAAGGAAGAGAACAGCCCAGAUUCUGACCAGGUUGGGUGACAAUGAUCACCUCCACCGUCCUCAGUGCUUGACAAGGGUGUCAGUGAAGGCUGACCUCACCUUAUCCAGGAUAUUGUACCAGGAUCUGCAUGGACAGAAGUGGAUGCUGGGGCAGCAUCCCUGGAAGUGUUCCAGGCCAGGUUGGAUGGGGCUCUGAGCAACCUGGUCUAGUGAAAGGUG